CUACGGGUCGCUCCAGUGAGGAAUAUUGCACAAUGGGGGGAACCCUGAUGCAGCAACGCCGCGUGGAGGAUGACGCAUUUCGGUGUGUAAACUCCUUUUAUAUGUCAAGAAAAUGACGGUAGCAUAUGAAUAAGCACCGGCUAACUCCGUGCCAGCAGCCGCGGUAAUACGGAGGGGUGCAAGCGUUACUCGGAAUCACUGGGCGUAAAGGACGCGUGGGCGGGUUGGAAAGUCAGGUGUGAAAUCCUACAGCUUAACUGUAGAACUGCACUUGAAACUUCUAAUCUAGAGUAUGGGAGGGGGAGAUGGAAUUAGUGGUGUAGGGGUAAAAUCCGUAGAUAUCACUAGGAAUACCUAAAGCGAAGGCGAUCUCCUGGAACAUUACUGACGCUAAGGCGUGAAAGCGUGGGGAGCAAACAGGAUUAGAUACCCUAGUAGUC
rnacentral:rRNA from 1 species